rnacentral:tRNA from 1 species
GGGAUUGUGGCUCAGCAGUAGAGCGCUCAAUUAGCACCUGUGAGGCCCUGGGUUCAAUCCUCAGCACCA